UUUGAUCCUGGCUCAGGACGAACGCUGGCGGCGUGCCUAAUACAUGCAAGUCGAGCGAACCACUUCGGUGGUUAGCGGCGGACGGGUGAGUAACACGUGGGCAACCUGCCUGUAAGACUGGGAUAACUUCGGGAAACCGGAGCUAAUACCGGAUAAUCCUUUUCCUCUCAUGAGGAAAAGCUGAAAGWCGGUUUCGGCUGUCACUUACAGAUGGGCCCGCGGCGCAUUAGCUAGUUGGUGAGGUAACGGCUCACCAAGGCGACGAUGCGUAGCCGACCUGAGAGGGUGAUCGGCCACACUGGGACUGAGACACGGCCCAGACUCCUACGGGAGGCAGCAGUAGGGAAUCUUCCACAAUGGACGAAAGUCUGAUGGAGCAACGCCGCGUGAGCGAUGAAGGCCUUCGGGUCG
rnacentral:rRNA from 1 species